rnacentral:rRNA from 1 species
CAGCAGCCGCGGUAAUACGGAGGGAGCUAGCGUUGUUCGGAAUUACUGGGCGUAAAGCGCACGUAGGCGGCCAUUCAAGUCAGAGGUGAAAGCCCGGAGCUCAACUUCGGAACUGCCUUUGAAACUAGAUGGCUGGAAUCUUGGAGAGGCGGGUGGAAUUCCGAGUGUAGAGGUGAAAUUCGUAGAUAUUCGGAAGAACACCAGUGGCGAAGGCGGCUUACUGGCUCAUACUGGACGCUGAGGUGCGAAAGCGUGGGGAGCAAACAGGAUUAGAUACCCCUGUAGUCCCUGUCUCUUAUAA